rnacentral:rRNA from 1 species
UUAGUACGGCGAGUGAGCGGUAAAAGCUCAAAUUUGAAAUCUGGUACUUUCAGUGCCCGAGUUGUAAUUUGUAGAAUUUGUCUUUGAUUAGGUCCUUGUCUAUGUUCCUUGGAACAGGACGUCAUAGAGGGUGAGAAUCCCGUUUGGCGAGGAUACCUUUUCUCUGUAAGACUUUUUCGAAGAGUCGAGUUGUUUGGGAAUGCAGCUCAAAGUGGGUGGUAAAUUCCAUCUAAAGCUAAAUAUUGGCGAGAGACCGAUAGCGAACAAGUACAGUGAUGGAAAGAUGAAAAGAACUUUGAAAAGAGAGUGAAAAAGUACGUGAAAUUGUUGAAAGGGAAGGGCAUUUGAUCAGACAUGGUGUUUUUUGCAUGCACUCGCCUCUCGUGGGCUUGGGCCUCUCAAAAAUUUCACUGGGCCAACAUCAAUUCUGGCAGCAGGAUAAAUCAUUAAGAAUGUAGCUACUUCGGUAGUGUUAUAGCUUUUUGGAAUACUGUUAGCCGGGAUUGAGGACUGCGCUUCGGCAAGGAUGUUGGCAUAAUGGUUAAAUGCCGCCCGUC